CCCCCUAUACAUGCAGUCGAACGCACAGCGAAAGGUGCUUGCACCUUUCAAGUGAGUGGCGAACGGGUGAGUAACACGUGGACAACCUGCCUCAAGGCUGGGGAUAACAUUUGGAAACAGAUGCUAAUACCGAAUAAAACUUAGUGUCGCAUGACACAAAGUUAAAAGGCGCUUCGGCGUCACCUAGAGAUGGAUCCGCGGUGCAUUAGUUAGUUGGUGGGGUAAAGGCCUACCAAGACAAUGAUGCAUAGCCGAGUUGAGAGACUGAUCGGCCACAUUGGGACUGAGACACGGCCCAAACUCCUACGGGAGGCUGCAGUAGGGAAUCUUCCACAAUGGGCGAAAGCCUGAUGGAGCAACGCCGCGUGUGUGAUGAAGGCUUUCGGGUCGUAAAGCACUGUUGUAUGGGAAGAACAGCUAGAAUAGGAAAUGAUUUUAGUUUGACGGUACCAUACCAGAAAGGGACGGCUAAAUACGUGCCAGCAGCCGCGGUAAUACGUAUGUCCCGAGCGUUAUCCGGAUUUAUUGGGCGUAAAGCGAGCGCAGACGGUUUAUUAAGUCUGAUGUGAAAGCCCGGAGCUCAACUCCGGAAUGGCAUUGGAAACUGGUUAACUUGAGUGCAGUAGAGGUAAGUGGAACUCCAUGUGUAGCGGUGGAAUGCGUAGAUAUAUGGAAGAACACCAGUGGCGAAGGCGGCUUACUGGACUGCAACUGACGUUGAGGCUCGAAAGUGUGGGUAGCAAACAGGAUUAGAUACCCUGGUAGUCCACACCGUAAACGAUGAACACUAGGUGUUAGGAGGUUUCCGCCUCUUAGUGCCGAAGCUAACGCAUUAAGUGUUCCGCCUGGGGAGUACGACCGCAAGGUUGAAACUCAAAGGAAUUGACGGGGACCCGCACAAGCGGUGGAGCAUGUGGUUUAAUUCGAAGCAACGCGAAGAACCUUACCAGGUCUUGACAUCCUUUGAAGCUUUUAGAGAUAGAAGUGUUCUCUUCGGAGACAAAGUGACAGGUGGUGCAUGGUCGUCGUCAGCUCGUGUCCUGAGAUGUUGGGUUAAGUCCCGCAAC
rnacentral:rRNA from 1 species